rnacentral:rRNA from 1 species
UGAGAGUUUGAUCCUGGCUCAGGAUGAACGCUGGCGGUCUGCUUAACACAUGCAAGUCGAACGCAACCUUCGGGUUGAGUGGCGGACGGGUGAGUAACGCGUGAGAAUCUGCCUUGGGGUCGGGGACAACCACUGGAAACGGUGGCUAAUACCGGAUACGCCUUCGGGUAAAAGAUUUAUUGCCCUAAGAGGAGCUCGCGUCUGAUUAGCUAGUUGGUGAGGUAAGAGCUCACCAAGGCAGCGAUCAGUAGCUGGUCUGAGAGGACGAUCAGCCACACUGGGACUGAGACACGGCCCAGACUCCUACGGGAGGCAGCAGUGGGGAAUAUUGGACAAUGGGCGGAAGCCUGAUCCAGCCAUGCCGCGUGUGUGAAGAAGGCCUUUUGGUUGUAAAGCACUUUAAGCGAGGAGGAGGCUACCUAGAUUAAUACUCUGGGAUAGUGGACGUUACUCGCAGAAUAAGCACCGGCUAACUCUGUGCCAGCAGCCGCGGUAAUACAGAGGGUGCGAGCGUUAAUCGGAUUUACUGGGCGUAAAGCGUGCGUAGGCGGCUGAUUAAGUCGGAUGUGAAAUCCCUGAGCUUAACUUAGGAAUUGCAUUCGAUACUGGUCAGCUAGAGUAUGGGAGAGGAUGGUAGAAUUCCAGGUGUAGCGGUGAAAUGCGUAGAGAUCUGGAGGAAUACCGAUGGCGAAGGCAGCCAUCUGGCCUAAUACUGACGCUGAGGUACGAAAGCAUGGGGAGCAAACAGGAUUAGAUACCCUGGUAGUCCAUGCCGUAAACGAUGUCUACUAGCCGUUGGGGUCUUUGAGGCU